GCAGUCGAACGGGGAAAGAGAGGUUCGCCUUUCUUUCUUAGUGGCGCACGGGUGAGUAAUGUAUAGCUAACCUGCCCCUUGGAGGGGAACAACAGUUGGAAACGACUGCUAAUACCCCAUACUCCUUCUUACUCUAAGGUAAGUCGGGAAAACUCCGGUGCCGAGGGAUGGGGCUGUAUCCUAUCAUCUUGUUGGUGAGGUAAUGGCUCACCAAGGCGAUGACGGGUAGCUGGUCUGAGAGGAUGAUCACCCCCACUGGAACUGAGACACGGUCCAGACUCCUACGGGAGGCAGCAGUGGGGAAUAUUGCACAAUGGGGGAAACCCUGAUGCACCAACGCCGCGUGGAGGAUGACACAUUUCUGUGUGUAAACUCCUUUUAUAAGGGAAGAUAAUGACGGUACCUUAUGAAUAA
rnacentral:rRNA from 1 species